rnacentral:misc_RNA from 1 species
GUAGUCAGGACUCGACGAUUCUAUUUGAAAUUUGAAUCAAACGAAGGAGCCCUAUAUAUAAUCGUAGCAUCGCCGGAGUAUAUUGUUCAGAGCAUUUAUGCAACCGGCGAAGAAACCGAGGAUCACCUGGCCCGACCCGAAUAUUGAUUUCUUAAGGAACCCUAGCAAUAGCUACGAAGGAUUUUGGGUUUUUAGGGUUCCAGUUCAUGCUUUUACGAAUGGAUAUCGACACUGAUAUUUCUCAUUGGAUUCUCGAAUUCAUCCUCCGGCAACCGCUCGACGACAGCGUUCUUAACGGCUUCAUUCACGUUCUUCCACUUCCAAACGACAAGCCGAAUCUAAAAAAGGCGCUGCUUAUCCGAAAAAUCGAAUCUGAGAUUUCUAACGGUUCAGUUAAUGAGAAAAUCCUCGAUUUUCUGGAGCUGAUUGAGGAACUAAAUCAUCAAGAUGGGAUUGAAGCUUCAGAGGUUAUGAAAGCUGCGUAUUGUGCGGUGGCAGUGGAGUGUACGGUGAAGUUUCUGAAUAGUGAAGGGACAGGAGGUGAUAAAGGUAAGUAUUUUGACGCAGUAAGGAGGAUAUGGAAAAGGAAAAUCAAUUUAACGGAGAAAAUAGAGAAUGUAGGGUUUGUAUCGGAAGAGUUAUGGAAUUGGAGGGAUGAAAUAGAGGCGGCUUUAUGGGAUGAUAAGUGUUCUUACAGUUUGUAUCGGAAGAGUUAUGGAAUUGGAGGGAUGAAAUAGAGGCGGCUUUAUGGGAUGAUAAGUGUUCUUACAGUGUGAUAAUGAAGAGUAAAGCCGUAGUUGCUGUUGAGUCGGUUAAGUUUUUUGUUAGAGAAGCUAAAGAGAGAACGGGGUCUCCUUUUCUUGAUGUUGUGGCGGAAGCUUACCAGUCUGAUGAGACAAUGAAGACACUUUUUGGAGGGUUGAACAAAGAAGGAGCUCGCCGGGAAAAUAACAGAGAAGUGUCCAAAGGAACUGCAUUGCGCAGGAAGAAGCAUGUUGCUUUCAAACGCACCAGAGAAGGUGUCAGGAUCAAUGAUUCUAUUGAGUUAGA